GAUUGGUGCUUGCAUCAUGAUUUACAUUUGAGUGAGUGGCGAACUGGUGAGUAACACGUGGGAAACCUGCCCAGAAGCGGGGGAUAACACCUGGAAACAGAUGCUAAUACCGCAUAACAACUUGGACCGCAUGGUCCGAGCUUGAAAGAUGGCUUCGGCUAUCACUUUUGGAUGGUCCCGCGGCGUAUUAGCUAGAUGGUGGGGUAACGGCUCACCAUGGCAAUGAUACGUAGCCGACCUGAGAGGGUAAUCGGCCACAUUGGGACUGAGACACGGCCCAAACUCCUACGGGAGGCAGCAGUAGGGAAUCUUCCACAAUGGACGAAAGUCUGAUGGAGCAACGCCGCGUGAGUGAAGAAGGGUUUCGGCUCGUAAAACUCUGUUGUUAAAGAAGAACAUAUCUGAGAGUAACUGUUCAGGUAUUGACGGUAUUUAACCAGAAAGCCACGGCUAACUACGUGCCAGCAGCCGCGGUAAUACGUAGGUGGCAAGCGUUGUCCGGAUUUAUUGGGCGUAAAGCGAGCGCAGGCGGUUUUUUAAGUCUGAUGUGAAAGCCUUCGGCUCAACCGAAGAAGUGCAUCGGAAACUGGGAAACUUGAGUGCAGAAGAGGACAGUGGAACUCCAUGUGUAGCGGGGA
rnacentral:rRNA from 2 species